AGAGUUUGAUCCUGGCUCAGAUUGAACGCUGGCGGCAGGCCUAACACAUGCAAGUCGAGCGGUAGAGAGAAGCUUGCUUCUCUUGAGAGCGGCGGACGGGUGAGUAAUGCCUAGGAAUCUGCCUGGCCGUGGGGGAUAACGUUCGGAAACGGACGCUAAUACCGCAUACGUCCUACGGGAGAAAGCAGGGGACCUUCGGGCCUUGCGCUAUCACAUGAGCCUAGGCUCGGAUUACCUAGUUGGUGAGGUAAUGGCUCACCAAGGCGACGAUCCGCAACUGGUCUGAGAGGAUGAUCACUCACACUGAAACUGACACACCGUCCACACUCCUACAGGAGGCAGCAGCGGGGAAUAUUGGACAAGGGCCGACACCCUGAUCCAGCCGUGCCGAGUGUGUGAAGAAUGUCUUCACAUUGUAAAGCACUUUGAGUAUGCUAGGAAGGCGCAUGUAAUUAAUACUUCGCUGUUGUGACCUUACCGACACAAUAACCACCGGCUAACUCUGUGCCACCGAUCGUCCUAAUACACAGGGUGCAAGCCUUCAUCUUAAUUACUGGUCGCAUAGCGCGCGUACGAGGUUUGCUAAGUUGGAUGUGAAAUCC
rnacentral:rRNA from 1 species